GGAAGUAAUCUAUUUUUAUAUUAACUAUUUCUAUAGCAAGAUGACUUUUAUUUUAUGGUUGUUCAAGUUAAGAAAAGAAAGGUUAAUACUGACCCAUAUGCCGAUGCCUUAUUCAUUGAAUGACUUAAGAUGCUGGUGUAAAUAUUUUGUAAGACUUAAAGUUUAAUUUAUAAAAUUAUGCACAUAUUAUAAAUUUAUUCUCAUUUAUUAAAUUGAAUGUCGACCACCACAAUUAGAAGUAACUUUAGCUUUUGGCUAUAAUGAAUUAACAAUUUUUUUUUACCAGUUAAAUGUGAUAAAAAUGUCUAGGGGUUGGAUUUAAAGAUCAAAUGAUCAAAAAUUUAGGUUGUCUACAUUAUAUAAGCCAACAAAUUCCUAGACUUCGCUUUUUCUAAUGUAGCAUAUGGAGCUCAGAUCUUAUACCCAUGUGCGAAUUGCAUAAAUCAACUUUGGAAGAACCGGGAUGACAUGACAGAACAUUUGAUAUGUGAUGGAUUUUUUAAGAAUUAUACAAUUUGGAAUCACCAUGGGGAAACAUCAUCUUCACAUACACCUCUGUUUGAAACUGUUCCAGUGGAACUUGGCACAACAGAUAACCUUGAUGCUACACAUACCAUGUUGAAUGAGAUGUUGGGAAGAAAUGAAGAUGGAGGCGUAAGAUAUGCAGAUGAAGGAAUAGAGGUGGCAUAAGUGUGCAUACAGAUGGGCCGAGUGUAGAAAAAAAUAAAUUUGAAUGGCUAAUGGAAGAUGCAGAUUUACCAUUGUAUCCAAGGAGCGAAAAAUUUACGAAACUUUCCUUCAUUCUUCGUCUUUAUCAUAUUAAAUGCUUCCGCAAGUUGUCGCAUUUUCAAUGUUACUCGACUUAUUGAAAGAAGCACUUCCCUAGCCAAAUUCAAUACCAAAGUCAAUGUAUGAAACUAAGAAGAUUAUGAAAGACUUGGGACUGAAUUAUGUGAAGAUUGAUGCCUGCCCUAACCAUUGUAUGUUGUAUCGGAAUGAGUCAGCAAAUGCUAGGUCUUAUUCAAAAUGUGGUGCAUCAAGAUAAACAUUAAAGAAUAAGAAGAUCCCAGCUAUGACAUUACGUCAUUUCCCAUUGAUUCGAAGGCUUCAAAUGUUAUAUAUGUCAUCUAAAACCUCAUCAGAUAUGAGAUGGCAUCAUGAAGUGCAUAUAGACGAUGGGAAAUUAUGACACCCAGCUGACUCUAAAGCAUGGAAGGACUUCGAUAGGUUGUAUCCUGAUUUUAGUGAGGAACCUCUUAAUAUCAGGUUUGGGCUAGCAAGUGAUGGAUUUAAUCCAUUCAAGGAAAGGAGCAUAAUGCAUAGCAUAUGGCCUAUUGUGAUGAUGCCUUACAAUUUGCCACCAUGGAUGUGUAUGAAGAUUCCUAACAUGAUUCUAACAUUUUAUUCCUGGACCAAGACAACCAUGGAAUGAUAUAGACAUAUUUCUACAGCCAUUGAUUGAUGAGUUAAAAAUAUUGUGGGAUACUAGUGUUGUGACUUACGACGCAUUAAAAAAAAAAAAGGUGCUCUCAACAUUUCUUUUGCCAAAAAAAAAAAAAAAGACUUACGACGCAUAUAAGAAGGAAUCAUUUAAGUUGCAUGCAUGCUUGUUAUGGACCAUUCACGAUUUUUCAGCAUAUGGAAAUCUCUUUGGUUAGAGUACUAAAGGUGCUUUGGCUUGUCCAUGUUGCAAUAUGUAUACUUCUUCACAUUGGCUUAAAUAUGGAAGAAAGCACUGUUACUUGGGCCAUCGUCGAUCCCUUCCACAAGGUCAUAAAUUUCAUCGUGAUAAAAGAAGUUUUGAUGGUUAUGAGGAACAUAGAGUGCAGCUAAAGACACCUUUUGGCUUUGAUGUGUUGGAGAAAUUAUGGGAUGUUCAGUUUCCUCCAUUCGGGAAGGAAGAUGUUGACAAUAAUGGGAAGAAGAAGAGGAAGAGAUUACAACAACCAGAACUCCCACAUAACUGGAAGAAGAAGAGUAUAUUCUUUUGAUCUACCAUAUUGGAAACAUAAUGUUGUCCGACACAAUCUAGACGUGAUGAUGCAUAUUGAGAAGAAUAUAUGUGAUAGUAUCAUUGGCACAUAGUUAAUUUAAAAAAAAAAAAAAACCGAAGGAUCACAUGAACCGUCUAGAUUUGAAAGAUAAGAAAAUACGUACUGAUCUACAUCCAAUGGUAAUUGAAGGCAAGAAUAAAGUCAUUUUACCUCCAGCACACUACACAAUGUCCAAUGAGGACAAGAAGGUGUUCUGCAUAAUAUUAAGUGGUGUGAAGGUUCUAGACGGCUAUGCUGGUAAUAUCUCUCAUAACGUGCAAGUCAAGGAGAGGAUAAUAUCAGGAAUGAAGAGUUAUGAUUAUCAUAUUUUGAUGCAACAACUUCUUCCAGUCGCCUUGCGUACUAUUUUUCCCAAGAAUAUUGGUAAAUUAUUGAUGGACUUAUGUGAGUUCUUUUGGGAUUUAUGUAGUAAAGUAAGUACAGAGGAGGAUUUCAAGAGACUUGACCAAAAUAUUGCUAUCACAUUGUGUAACUUAGAAAGGUAUUUUCCACCUGGAUUUUUUGAUGUUAUGGUGCAUCUAAUUAUUCAUUUAGGCCACGAGGCGAGCUUGGCUGGUCCUAUACAUUACCAUUGGAUGUAUCCAAUUGAAAGGUCAGUGUUAUAUUAUACAGAGUGUAAUAAUACAUCUUAAUUAUUUUAUUUUAAAAAUUAUGACAAAAUGCUAAAUAUUCAAACUAAAUGUGGAUUUGUGUAGGUUCCUGAAAUAGCUUAAAGACAAUGUUCGCAAUCGUAGUCGGUCAGAGGGCUCAAUAGCAUAAGGAUAUCUUGCAGAUGAGUGUUUAACAUUUUUUGCUAGAUACUAUGAAGAUGUUGAAACGAGGUUGAAUCAGCCAACGAGAAAUUAUGUGUUUUGGAUGUAGAUGAUCCAUUUUUAGUAUUCUCAAACAUAGGUCUCCAGGAAGUGUGAACUGUUACGUCUCGACAAGAGAGAAUGGGAUCAAGCACAUCGUUGUGUGCUGAUCCGUUAUGAAGGAAUAAAAUAUUAUGAGAAAUAAGUAUGAAAUAUAUAUGGGAUUCCUUAAUUUUCAGCCAUUUUCUUAAUAACAUAUUCGAUAUCUAUAAAAAAACAUGUAAGCGAAUAAUAUUUUUUGGGCUCUCUCUAAAACAUGUAGGUGAGGAUACUUAUGAUCGAGCACACAUGUGUGGAGUUAGAUUAACUCCGAAACAGUUGAAUGGGAUGGCAGCAAAACGAGCUGCGGCAUAUGAGUGAGAGAAUGCAAAUCUGCAGACUGAGGUUGCGACAUUGAAGGAGAAUAUCAAUGAACUGAAGGAUCGAUUUGGGGCACUACAGGACCAAAUGAAAAUUUUUAUGCAAACCAUCGGACAACAACAAUCUUGAUUUAGUGUUAAAUGUUUUGGUCUCUUACAUAGAUGAUGUAUAGUUGGAAUUUAUAUAUCUUUUGUUUUAAAUCAGACCUCUAGGUGCCCUAACAAUCAUCAUACUUAAUGGUUAUAGUAACUAGUGUUCUUUCAUUAUUCUUCGCUUUUGCUUCAAGUAUCAGAGGUAAUGGAUGAUCAAUUCAUUAUAAAAUGUGUUUAAUAGCCUCCUAGUAAAGUUUCUUAGUUGUGUUAAUAAUAAAAAUGAGCAUGUCUUAUUGUAUAUUGCUAUUCCCUUUCCUUUGAGCUUGUGAUGCAAUUGCAACCCUUAUCCCAUAUCCCAGAUGGGCCAGGGAAGUGCAUUUUUUUGUGGGUUUCCCUCAAAGCAAUUUUUCUGCUUAUCAUUGUUCAACCUCAACAGUUAUUGUCCUCUUCAGGUUACCACGAGAAGUUCUAAUACUGGCUUCAAGGUCUUUGAAACCAACAUUUCACAAAGAUUCUAUUGGGAAGGUGUGCAGACACUGUUUUAUCCCACUGCUAUUGGUUCUGAACCACAGGAUCAAGGACUUGAUUCACGUGAUCAUUGGAAGCGAGUAAUGCAAGGGCAUGCUGGGGCUAAUCUGCCACCUCAUUGAUCCAGGCCAUAAAAAUGUGAGUUACCUUUGCUAAAGGCUGUGAGUGUCAACGAGAUUCUGUAGUCCUUGGAUUUCUGUUCAAAAACCAGAGCCAGAGUCAUCAGAAAGAGUGAUAAUCUCUUUCCAUAACCAAUUGACCAGUCAGAAAGAGUCCUCCUGGAUUAGAUUACUGCUAUGAGCAACAUGAGGAUGUUGGACAAAUUUUCUCAAGAGAGGCGUACAAUUGCUAUCUUGAAGCACUGCGUAUACAACCAAAUUUUGCUAUUGCAUGGUCAAACCUUGCUGGUCUCUUUAUGGAGGCUGGUGAUCUUAACAGAGCCGUUCAAUAUUAUAAGAAAUGCUUGAUAAUUCUUCUAUGGAUUUUGAAAACUGGUGGGACUUCUUAAUGCUGAAGGGUGAUGCGCUAAAAGAUGCUGGAAGAGUUGAUGAAGCAAGCAGUUGCUAUCGUGGAAUUUGGUGUGAAGGCAACCUAUUUCCUUGCAGAAGCCUUUCUGGAGAUAAUACAUUUCAGUAGCAAUGGCGGCAUCCUUAAUGGCAGCAGUGCUAGUUUGAGUGCCACAAGAAGUGCAUUAAUUCAGCUAUGUAUUUGAAUACCACAAAACUCCAAAUCUAAAGCCAGCUGUCUUUCAAUGUUUAACUGCAAUUGUAUAUUGUGAAAUAAAUGGUGUAUUCUAUUUUCUUUU